AUUGAACGCUGGCGGCAGGCCUAACACAUGCAAGUCGAACGGUAGCACAGAGAGCUUGCUCUCGGGUGACGAGUGGCGGACGGGUGAGUAAUGUCUGGGAAACUGCCCGAUGGAGGGGGAUAACUACUGGAAACGGUAGCUAAUACCGCAUAACGUCGCAAGACCAAAGAGGGGGACCUUCGGGCCUCUUGCCAUCGGAUGUGCCCAGAUGGGAUUAGCUAGUAGGUGGGGUAACGGCUCACCUAGGCGACGAUCCCUAGCUGGUCUGAGAGGAUGACCAGCCACACUGGAACUGAGACACGGUCCAGACUCCUACGGGAGGCAGCAGUGGGGAAUAUUGCACAAUGGGCGCAAGCCUGAUGCAGCCAUGCCGCGUGUAUGAAGAAGGCCUUCGGGUUGUAAAGUACUUUCAGCGAGGAGGAAGGCGUUGUGGUUAAUAACCGCAACGAUUGACGUUACUCGCAGAAGAAGCACCGGCUAACUCCGUGCCAGCAGCCGCCGUAAGAC
rnacentral:rRNA from 1 species